rnacentral:rRNA from 1 species
UACGGAGGGUGCAAGCGUUAUCCGGAUUCACUGGGUUUAAAGGGAGCGCAGGCGGAUUUGUAAGUCAGUGGUGAAAGGCUUAAGCUUAACUUGGGAACUGCCAUUGAUACUAUAAGUCUUGAAUGUUGUUGAGGUUUGCGGAAUGGGUCAUGUAGCGGUGAAACGCAUAGAUAUGACCCGGAACACCUAUUGCGAAGGCAGCAGGCUAAACAAAUAUUGACGCUGAGGCUCGAAAGCGUGGGGAUCAAACAGG